GGAUCCGUAGCUUGGAGGAAAAAAGCGCUAAACUAGUGAAUUGUGUGUCGUAGGUUCGACUCCCACCGGAUUUC
rfam:Aedes albopictus isolate Foshan contig100774, whole genome shotgun sequence.